AUCUGCAGGAAGCCUUGUUUCGUCCCGUGACCGUGAGUGUGAAGAGUCUUCCUCCGUCUAUUGGAGCGGCGGCCACGGCCCAACACCACACUCAUCCCCAGCCCUCCCCGCUCCACCACACCCUCUCUCUCCCACCACACUAUUUUCUCAAGCAUCUCCAGCCAUUAUUGGUGUAUAUAAGCGCCUUGGGUUAGUUUGGCAGCGUCAGUUGGUUAUGGAGUGAGGACGACGUAGGUGACUGGCGAUGCUUGGUUGUUUAAGCGUCUAGUUCCCCAGGAUUUAUUGAUCACAAUAUCAGUUGUAAACAUUCGCCAUGGCAGGUGGUGGGAGUGGAGGUUUCCUGGCAAUUGUCUUGGUGUUUUUCCUUCGCUAUGUGACUGCCAAGCCCUCGACCGGUACUGACAUCGAGCUGGAUGAAAAGUACUUGAUCACGCAUCGUAUUGACAGUCUCAACAUUUUGUUAUACACCUUUUUGCUCAUUUUAACGGUGGUGACAAUAUGGAUCUUCAAAUACCGACGUGCACGGUACCUUCACGAGACCGGACUCGCUGUCAUAUACGGAUUAAUAGUGGGAGCCAUAUUGAGGUACAGUGGAGACAGUACUUCACUAACUCACAUGAGAGUAGUACCAGAGGACACUGCAUACAAUGACAAUGUACCACCCGACUCGCUGUGGCUAAAGUAUAAUCGGGGUAAUGCUAGCUUGGGCAGAAUAUACGCUUACUCUUUUAAAGGCGAGAUUCCAGAGGCAUUGGAAAAUGAAAUUGUUCAAAAGGCUACUUUUGAUCCAGAGAUCUUCUUCAACAUUCUGCUGCCACCCAUAAUCUUCAGUGCAGGCUACAGUCUUAAGAGGAAACAUUUCUUUAAGAAUCUUGGUGCCAUCUUCACAUUUGCAUUCCUUGGAACAACUAUAUCUACUUUUGUUGUUGGUGGUUUGGUAUAUGGUUUCCUGUGGCUUAUCAGUUCUUCCAUCACCUUCAUCGACUGCCUGCUGUUUGGCGCACUUAUCUCUGCAACAGAUCCAGUCACAAUUUUGGCUAUUUUCUCCGAUCUUCAUGUUGAUGUGAACCUGUAUGCUCUUGUAUUUGGUGAAAGUGUCUUAAAUGAUGCAGUGGCAAUCGUGUUAUCCAGUGCCAUAGAAAGUUACGGGAGUGACACUGGAGGCUUUGAGACUUCUGCAUUCUUUUUGGCAAUACUCAAUUUUCUGUGGAUCUUCAGUAUGUCCUUCCUCAUAGGCUCAGUUAUGGGUUGCCUCACUGCGAUACUCACAAAAUUCACCCGCCUGAAAGACUUUCCUCUACUGGAGACUGCUUUAUUUGUUCUCAUGUCAUACUCAACAUUCCUGAUGGCAGAGGCUGCAGAUCUAACAGGAAUUGUUGCAGUUCUAUUCUGUGGUAUUUGUCAAGCGCACUACACAUACAACAAUCUCUCAGUGGAGAGUCGUGUAGCUACCAAAACGCUUUUUGAAUUACUCAACUUCUUGUCGGAAAAUUUCAUCUUCUCUUACAUUGGUGUCUCAAUGUUUACCUUCGACCAUCACAAGUGGGAACCAGGAUUCAUUUGCAUUGCAUUUUUGGCCGUCAUCGCAGGAAGAUUCUUAAAUAUUUACCCGCUCUCCUGCUUGCUCAAUAUUGGACGCCGCCCUAAGAUUCCUGUCAAAUUCAUGAACAUGCUGUUCUUCUCAGGUCUAAGAGGAGCUAUUGCCUUUGCUCUGGCAAUCCGCAACACAAGCAGUGAUGCACGAAAGUCCAUCUUGACAACGACAUCUCUCAUUGUAAUAGUUACUGUAAUUUUGUGUGGUGGACUUACCACACAAGUCUUGUCAUGGCUAGGAAUACCUGUUGAUGUUGAGGAUGACGAGACCCAUCAUCUGAACCAGUUCCAGCCCAUCAGAAAUGAUUACAAAAGCAUUGAAGGGUCCUGGGGUGCUGGUGGAGAAGAGGGAGAGGAGUGUGGGACAGACUGCAACAAUGUGGGCAAGUUUGAGAAAGCUUGGCUCUUCCGCAUUUGGGCCAAGUUUGAUGUGAAGUUCAUGAAGCCUUUCCUAACCAACAGUAGACCCACCCUUUUGGACACAACACCGCUGUGUUGUGCUCCACUAGCAAGACUACUUACAACCACAGAACAGCUCACACAGCAGGACCGGGAUCCUCUCAAUGAUGACCUGCCAUUAGACGACACACUCUUAGGAUCAGGUGGAGUGCGUACUUCCAUAGAUUCUAGUAGCAAGCGGGAGCGUGACUCUGCAGAUAAUCGUAGCCAACUCAGUAUUGACGCCCAGAAUUUCAUGUAACUAACGACCCUGUUCACCAAUCACCACCACCACCACUACUAACUACUACUACUACUACUACUACCACCACCACCACCACCAUGGAACUACUAACUACUGAACGACCAGACUGAGUGUAUCCAACCCAGUAUAUGAUGGUGAUUUGGGUCUGGGCUCUUCAGGAAGUGUGCCAACCCGAGUGUCUGUGGCUGGCUCUCGUGGUCAUGAACUGUGAACUCUGUGGCUAGUUCUUGUGGUCAUGAGCUGGAACACUGACUAGCUCUCAUGGUUAUGAUGUGUGAACUCUGCAGCUAGCUCUCAUGGCCAUGAUGUGUGAACUCUGCUGCUAGUUCUCACAGUCAUGAUGCGUGAACUCUGCGGCUAGUUCUCAUGGUCAUGUGUGAACUCUGCGGAGAGCUCUCAUGAUCAUGAUCAGUGAAUAAUGUAGCUAGCUCGUGUGGUCAUGACCUAUGCAAACUGUGGAGAGCUCUUGUGGUUAUGAAGAGUGAAGAGUGAGCACUGUGGCUGUGUCUGGAUCUUGUAGUCAUGAUCUGUGAACACUUUAGCUGUGACUAACUCUUGUCCUUGUGAUCUGUAAACACUGUGCCUGGCUCUUGUGGUCAUGAUCUGUGAACACUUGCAGUCUACUCCUAAUGACACAUAUCUUAUAAGAAAACGGAAAAUAUUUUGUUACAAGUGAAGAACGAAAUGGAUAAAAAAAAUCCAGAUAAUUAGCUCAUGGUUAAGUAAAAUGAAAGAAUAUAAAAUGUAAUUGUGAUCCUUCAGUAUGGGUCUCUGAGAACCAAAAGUUUGGCAGUAGAUCUGUCUAUUUAUUUUGUUUUUGUUUGCAAACAUAUUGGCAAAGAACUGGAAGAAAAUGUAAGUAAUAUUAUUAUUAUUAUUCCAUUAUGGGUGAAUCAAGUGGUGAUACCUAUAUUGUAUAAACUUGAAUGUGCUAGUUGGCAAGACAAAUAUCUAAUUUUCAACACAUGAAAAAUGGAAUUACAUGAGCUGUGAUGUUUUAGUAGUGUGUGAGAACAUUGUUUGCUGGGAUUACACUGUCUAAUGUCAAGCUAUUGUUAUGUGGAAGAAGUAAGCAAAUGUCCUGACUGGGGCAGUUUUAAUGUAUGUAUAUACAGCAAUGAAACUUAUCUAAAGAAAUUUUGUUGUGUUCAAAUGAAAAUUGAAUCUGCGGAUAAGAUUUCAUAGAAUUAAAAUACUGUAAUUAUUUCUAAUUUUGUGUUGUAUAAGGAUUUCUUAAGCAUUAUUGGAAAGUUAUCUCAGUAUCAGUAAUUUUUUGUUGUCAAUUAAGAUUAGCAGUGUAAUUUACAAAACAGUUAAUUUUCAAAGGGUUGUGAAAGACUAAUCACUAUCAGUAUUUUUUUAAUUAUGUGGAAAUAUGCAGACCAAAAAUUAUGUUGUUGAUUCAUUUACGUUGAAAUUUCCCUCAAGCUGUUCACUCAGUGCACUUAACAAGUAUGUGUUCGUGUUCCCAUAUGUAUCAGUACUGUAUCUCAUGCACAUGUUCCUGCUUGUGAAUCAUAUCAAGGAUUAGUAUAAUGCAUGUCUCCAUGCUUGUGUGCUUACGUGAGGCUUAAUACGAGUCAUGUGAUUACGCUUGUGCUCUUUCAUGAGGAUCAGUGUAACGCAUGUGUUGUGCGUAUGUUCUAUCGAAAGGACCAGUAUGAUGUAUGUGUUCUCCUGUGAGGAUUAAUGUGUUCUCUUGUGAAUAUCAAUUUGAUGCACGUGUUCUUUUGUAAAGAUCAAUAUAAUGCAUAUGCCCAUACUAGUGUUCUCUUGUAAGGAUCACUGAGUGCAUGUAUCUAUGCUUGUGUGUUCUCAAGAUCAGUGAUAAUUUGUUCUCCCCCCCCCCCCUUCCUAGUAUGUUCUUGGGAGGAUUAACAUCUCUGGCACAUGCUCAUGCUUGUAUAUUCUGGUGAGGCUCUACGGUCCUUGUCUCAUGUGUUCAUGGUUGUGUGUUACCUAGUAUAUUAUACAUGUUUUUGUUUUAUAUUUUCAUAUUUAUACCACUAGUAAUGUUUUUGCCCGACUAUACUGUGUAUCUGGAUGCAUAUACCCAUGAGGACGUGUUUGUAAGUGUACUUUAAAAUUGUCUUCUAUUGCAUUCAUUAAAAUAGUAUAUUUAUAUAUAUUCAUUAGAGAUACAGUAUAAGCAAUGUUUAUUUAUAAUGAAGCCUGGGUGGUGACUGAAAGGCUGCUCUGAAUCCAAGAGUUGUGCUGAAAUAUUCAUAGAAUUAGAUACCCAGGAUAACUACAAUAAUGUAUUUCAUAGCAGUUAUGUUAUACUCUGCUUCUGAAUUCUUCAGAACUGCUAUAACAGACUCUUGAUCUAGUUAUUUGAAUAGUAUGCAAUCUGUUUUUGAAUGGGCAAAAACAGACCUGUAACCUUCCAAGUUGUGAAGAGAUAAUACAAUUAGUGGAAAGCUUAUUUUCUAAAUUGUAUUCUUCUUCUUCACUGAGAGCUUCUCUCACAUAAGCUUUACUCUUCCUUCUCUUAAGAGUAUAUAUUAUACCCAAGCACUGAUUAUUCUUACCAGGACAAGUACCAGAAGUUUAAGAUUUUUGAUGUGAAGUCUCAUUAUUAGUCAAUGUAAUGCAAGAGAUACUAAAAUAUUUUAGUUACCCAAUCAUACACAACCUUAAAUAUAAUCAUUCAAAUGUAGCUACCCAGAAUAUAUUCCCACUGCAUAGUCUUAUGCUAAGAAGAGUAUAUAUACAAUAUGAUAUGAUAGUCUUAAAAUACAAUAUGAUAGUCUUAUGCUAAGACUAUAUAAUACCAGCACAGUUUAUGAAGCUGUUUGUGCUGAUCAAGAGGAAGACAAAUCUGGAAUAUGGGAAAAUUGUUUUGAAAAUUAAAAUUUGCAGAAAAGGUCAUUUAUCAUUUACCUGCACAGUCUUUAUUCAUUAAAAUAAGGAUAUGAUAUUCAAAAAUUUAAUUUGGGAUUCUUUGGUCUUAUUGUAAACUAUGGAAUACUUGAAUGAUAAAUUAUGCUUUUCUGAUUUGAUCAUAAGACAGUUACUCAAUUCCAAAAUACAAUGAUACGAGUCAAAUAUAUUAACUAUUGUUAAAUUAUCAUGUUUCAUGAAUAAAAUAUUUUAGGUCUCUUUGGUUUUAAAAAGUUUGCACCUUAUAUAUAUAGGCUUCUUGGAACCUUGUUUUGGUAACUAGAAUAAUUGCUGCAAAUGGUACCAGGUAUAUUAUAGAUUUUUCUUAUAAAUAUUGUAAUUGUGUGACAAACACUAAGCUGGUCAUGUUUGUUGUUAUUCCCAUUGAUUCAUAUUUAUCUUAAGUUUGCAUAUAAAUGUUCUUAAGUGCUUAAUGUUUUCUUUGUACCUAUCUUCCAAGAGGAGAGGAGGGAAUGAGGAGAAGCUAUUUCAAUGAUUCAUCCUCAGUUAAAGACUUACCAUAGACAUUUUUAUGCUUCAUUGUGGUAGUAAAAAUAGAAGAAAACUAAAUGUUUAAGAACUGAAUGGCCAUCUGUCCAAGCACAUGGCUUCAUCUUAAAUCCUGUUAAACCAAUGUGGCUUUAGGGUUUAUAUUUAUAUCUAUUUUAAACACUUUGUUUCCUCCAGAAAUAAGGUAUGGUUACAGUGAACCAUUUCCUCUAGUCAUAUAAAAAUCAUGCUUGAGCAUUUUGAGAAUGAUUACCAGUACAGUUAUUAUAAUGGAAUUGACAAAAAAUGUAAUCAACAUCUAAUUUGUAUUCCUAGUGUAUCUGACGCAAGUAAAAUACAUGUGAAAAAGAAUGCAGACAUUUGCAGACUUUAUACAUUAGAAAUAGAGCAAUGGUGAUGAUUUUUGUUCAUUACUAAAACUAUCCAGAGUAGUUAACACAAUAUUUACUUUUACCCAUUUUAUGCUUUGAAACCUGCUUUUUGUAUUAUACAAAUCCCAUUCUUGAAUAUGUGUACUAUGAUUCUGAUUGUUUAAAGAAUAUCUUAGUCUUUGGAAAAACUCAUGUUCAAGUAUGAUUUAAGGAAAUUAUGAAAAUAUCACCACAAAUACAAUUUCAUAUGGCAGACUUUGACUUGAAUAGUAAACACUAGGGUUUGAGAGUAAUUUACAACUGAGAUGCUCUAUGUCUUUGACUUAGCUCAUUAUAUAGCCUUACUGUUAAUAUGCAUACAGUAUCUUAUAAUUUGAAUUGUAUUUUAAAUGUGAUGUGUAUUUGAUAUCAAAUAAUACAGUAUAGCACAUUUUGUCACAUAAUAUUACUAGAAUAUUUUAUUAAUGAAAAUUAUAAAAUCAGAUGCAACUAUCUAAAUAAUAUUUGAUUGUAAAUACAGUAUAGAUUGUAUAUAAAUACUGAUUAUAAUAUCCAGAAGUAUAUUUGUACUUAUUUUUGUUUUUCUAUGCCACAUUGAGUGUUAAUGCAAAAACCUUAAAUUAUUCUCAAAAUAAAAUAUACUGCAUAUUUAUUGUAGAUUUUUUGUUAUACAAAUGUUUCCAAUGAAGAACUGAAUGUUAAUGGCAAAGAUCAUGCUGGGCCUCACAAGCAGCAGUGGCUUGCGAGACGUAAAUAAGUACAGUAAUGUAGAGUGCAUAGAAGUGGUCUGUGAGGAUCAGUGGAGUUUAAAUAAUGUGCGUCAUCAAAUGAGAAUAUUUGGUGACAUAACUAACAAUUAUCACUUUCUUGCUACCAAUAUGUGACAGUAAAAAAUCAAGAUAUCGGUGGACUUUUUUAAGGUGAAUAAUUUUUGGUUGUCCCUUCAUUUCAUAAUCUAUAAAACCAGCUAGGGAAAUUAGAAUAACACAAUACCUUGUGCCCAUGAUUUAUAAACUUAUGAAUUUUAUUGGUGAUAAUUUCAUUGUUCAUGGGUGGAGUUUAGAAAGCAAUUCAAUAUUUUGGGAAUAUGUUCAGAUUUUAUAUUUCUUGAAAUGCUUUUUUAAAUAUUUAUAUACCACAGACAUUUAUGGCUUGAGAUUACAGUAGAAUCAUCUGAUUAAUUUAUAGUUCAUACCAGUGGUGAAAUACUUUUCUUUGUACCAUUGUUUUUCCUAGUGAUUGAACAUAUAUUUGGUGAAAGUUGAACCAUUUACUAGAAUGUAGAUUUAAAUGUAUUGUACGUAUAUACAGUAUAUAUAUAUAUAUAUAUUACGGCUGUGAAAUGAAAACUUUUCCUCCCUAAGGUACUACAGUUAAAUGGGAAGAGUAAAUGCUUUCUUAUUAUUUAUUUCAAAUAUGUAAUAUAUGUUGUUAAAGGCUAAUCUCGACACUACUACAGCUUUUUUAAAAGCUAAACAAAAUUGAAGGAUCCCAUUCUAAAUCAUGCAAAAUGAAAUGUCUAUUCUGAAAUUCCUUAUGACAUGAACCUAGUUCUUUACUCUCCAGUGUACUACCAGAAUUACUGGAGUAAAAUGAGCCACUAGUCUGUUAUUCUUUUGUUUGGGUGUCAGUUUGUCAUAGUGAUAUGUAACAGCAUAUAACACUGCAAAUUAGACUUGUUUUCAUCCAGAUACUGACCAAGUUUUUGCUAGUGCUGGGUAUGAACACGUGCACCGUUUUGCGUUCCACAUUUCAGCAUCUUACUUAGUGUAAUGCAUGGUGAAAAUAGCUGUUCACUUUUGAAUACCUUUAAUGUGUGCAUUUUUAUUUGCCAUUUUUCCAUGAUUUUUGUUAUUUACUGUAUAUUGUAUUUAAUCCCUUGCACAUGGAGUUAGAACAAUGAAUAUGUUCUUAAUGUUUAACCUCUUUAUGGGAGCUUUUUUGCAUUCUUUAUGGGAGCUAUUGCAUUCCAAUUAGGAUUAAAGAUUUUUUCAUGUCAGCUUCAUCCUUGUUGUGAAAUUUAAAUGAAUGGUGAUUUUGAAAUACUGUUGGUACACGUUUCCAAUAUUCCAGGAUAUGUUGUGUUUGCUGGUUAAGUCAUUUUUGUUUGUGAAAGUAAUAACAAAAAUUAUUAUUAUUAUAGUGCCAUACUGUACCAUUUUUAAGAUGUGCAAGAAAUAGAACAUGAAUGUUUUUUAAUUGUAGUGUGUACCAUAAUAGUGGUACAUCGCAGUUUAAACACUGUAAUCAGUUAAUGGGUCUGCUUAUGUUAUACAUUUUAAUUUUGUAGGUUUUGCAAAAUAUUUACAUUUUUAGAGAUUGAACAGUACACCUAGAUAUUUCAUUUUUAUCUAGCAUAUUAUUAGUAUUUGACUGAAUUCUGGCUAGCGUUUUAGGUUACACUGUCUCAGAGCAUUAAGAUACCCAGUUCAUAUAAACUUAAUGUUACACUAUUGAGAAGUGGUAAACACUGGUUGUUGUUAUAAUUUAAACGUUAUUGUUGCAAAUAUAAUGAGUUAUCUAAUACCUGUAUACUUUAAAUGAAAGUUGAUUUUAUUGCACAAUUUUUUUUAAUAGGUUAAUUAAAUAUAUUUCAAAAGCUUAGAUUUGUUAAAAUAUAAGCGUUUCAUAAAGUUUUCCAUGAGAACAAUCACCAGUGAAGAGCAAACAGUUGAGAACAAACAGUAGAGAAUGACCAGUGGAGAACAUGACCGUAUCAAACUGCUUAAUUUUUUCUCCUAUUAAUCAAAAUAAUUGCCGGUAUUUAAAAUGUAUAUCCUUCUUAUAAAUCUGAAUAAUAAUGUGAACAAACAUUGUAAAUGUUCUCGUAUGUCCAUGUGGUGUACCCUUGAGACACUUUGGCAUCACCAUAUAUGCCACAUUGUGUACUACACUUAAAUUAGGACUAGGUACAGUAUAAAUAAACAUAAUGCUUUCCUAGGUCUAUUGGGUAGAUUAUUUUUUCGUUAAAUUGUAUUAUCUAAGUAAUGAUUGGUAUUGUCCUUUCACUGCUUGCAUAGCUGUUCACAUUUACUUUUCACAGCUUUAAUCAAAAUUCUUUAAUUAGAAAAUGAACUGCUUUAGGCUGAAACUAAGGUAUGCUAUCUUUGGAAAAUGUAUCAAUGUGUCUAAUAUAUAUUAGUUUUGUCAUUUCAUACUAACAUAGGAGGAUGGCUGAGCAUUUGAUAUAUCAAGUGCAUGCUACUAAAAUUUAAUACUGUUCAUAAUUUUGAUUUGUCUCAUUUUAAUGUGAGCUAAAUAUUGCAGGAGACAUGCAGCCUCACGUAUAUAACUGCAUGGUGAAGGCCAUGCUGUGUUGUGCUGAAUCUGUGUAGAAGGGAUUAAAUACAUGGAGACCAAGUAGGGUUUUUAAUCUAUUUUUGCAGAUUUUGGGAUAAAUGCAAUCUUUGUCAACAUAGUUAUUUAUUAGAUUUUUUAUGGUGUGAUUUAAUACAAGUAGUGAAGAGUCUUUAUCAUGCAGGUAAUAAAUUAUCCCACUGUGGUUUAGUAUUAAAUAAAGCAGCUUUGCUUUGUUAUAAACUUGGGUUAAGAUUGAAUAUAAUUCAUUAAGAAGCCCUCA